UCCAAGGAAGACACUGUUGGUGGCUCCGAACACGGCUUCCGCUUAUCUGUAGACAAGGAAUAGUUUCAGCUAACAAGGAAAAUGAGAACAAAGAGCAAUCAGUAAUUCUGAGACAAGAAAUAACUUCUGUUGUAACCCGUGCAUUGUAUUCUAUCCCAAGCUAAACUACCUAGUAUCUGUCGUAGUCAUGGUGAACUCGCUUUCAUUUUCAGAAAAUCAUGUAUUCUAUCCCAAGUGCAGCAACAGCUUUUGUGAUAUGAGAAACGCUAGCUAGUAUAAAAAUCAUUAGGUAAAAUAUAAAAAGUUAACUUGUGUGGCCACAAGUUUGCAGCUAUUCGAGCAAUUCAGAUCAUUAGUAAUUAACCUGGCCGAGGAUACUCCUAACAUAUAUAACAUAGUAGGCUCAAGCAAUUGUUAGCUUCAUUUUGUAAAUCCUAGAGAUGUAUGCAAGGUAUAUUCAUCCAUCCAACUACAUGCCUGAAUUGCUCUACCAAAAAUUUCAUCAGUCCACCGACAGGAAUCACACCCAAACAGUCUCUACUACUUCUGGGUACAGCCUAACUAACUUCUGCGCAUAUUUUAGUUGUGUUCUUAUGUUGACUAUCAAAGACCAAAGUCGUAAUCUUGUCUUCACCAGGUUAAAUGUGGCUCGUCUAACUCCCUAAUGCAAGUAAAUUCUGGAGCCAAGGAAGAAGAGUAUUGGGGACUGACCUGAAUGGCAACCUACCACUUCAGCAAACCGGCAGUGUCGUCUCUCCCCUUGAACCAUCUAUAACACCAAACUGAUAAAACAAGCCUAAUGAAAUGCACUCAGCUUAUAUGUGCCUAUUUUAUUCGAUGAAGCAUAUUUUCAAGAAAAAUGAUGUCAAACUGUACACUGGAAGACCAUAUCAAAGUUCAAAACGACAUUUAUAGUGAUAUAAUGUGACAUUCAGACAUUCAGAUCCAUUAUUAUCUACAAACAUAUGGACCAAUAAAUAUACUACUUUGUGCUACACGAAUUGCAACCUACGGAAAAUGCAAAGGUCAAACAAAAUCCCUUGAUAUUGUUAACCCUUUUAUCAAACUCAAAGCUACAACUGGUCAUGCCAAAUUAGAUUGGUCAACUACAGUUUCAAAUGGUAGACUCGCAUGCACUCUUCCAAAGCAUAAUGGUCAAGCAUCUACCUAAAACAAAUAUUCAGGUCUAUUCAUGAGGUUCAGCGUGCUUCCAGGGUUUCGAGCUCCACCAUUGACACUGGACAGCAAACAUAAGGUUUCUGGCCGAUCUGCUUGUUCGCAGAGUGAUUAGGACAGUAGCAGAAUUAACUAGGAUUCAGAGUUAGGUCGGUAAUUUUACCGCGCCGGGGAACUUGUCGAUCCUCUCCUCGUACUCCAGCGCCGGCUGCUGGCUCUCCCCCUCGGCGCCCACCUGCGCCUCAUCUUCAAUCGCCAGAAAGGGGGAAGCAGGAAAGGGGUUCGUCAGCUAGGAGCACAAGGUGAGCGGAAUGGACGGGAACUCGAAGGGGGCUGGGUUUAAUUUACCUCGUGUGCCGCUGCCGUCAUUGUAGCCAUAAAUAAACAGAGUGAAGCAAACAAAUUAACAUCAAAUCAAUCGACCCAGUUAUCUUCUCCACAUACACACG
rnacentral:lncRNA from 1 species